GCUUAGCCACAAACUUUUAAUUACACCCCAAACGCCAGGGAACUACGAGCAAAGCUUAAAACCCAAAGGACUUGACGGUGCCCCAUAUCCCCCUAGAGGAGCCUGUCCUAUAAUCGAUAACCCCCGUUUAACCUCACCAUUUUUAGCCAUAUCAGUCUGUAUACCUCCGUCGUCAGCUUACCACGUGAGUGAAGUAUAGUAAGUAUAAUGUCCAAUCACUCGUCAACACGUCAGGUCAAGGUGCAGCUAACAAAAUGGGAAGAGAUGGGCUACACUCUCUAACUUAGAACAUACGAAAGACUACUAUGAAAACUAGUCUAAAGGUGGAUUUAGCAGUAAAAAAAGACAAGAGUGCUUUUUUUAACUAGGCCCUGGGGUGUGUACACACCGCCCGUCACCCUCUUCGCAGCUACAUUCUAGUAACUAACAAAUUUCGCACAGUAGAAGAGGUAAGUCGUAACAUGGUAAGUAUACCGGAAGGUGUGCUUGGAAA
rnacentral:rRNA from 1 species